UUGAAAAGUUGAAGGUAGUCAUUUGUUUAAAACUUGGGUCUGUGCAAAUGUAGCAGUUUUUGAGCACAAUGAAUGGUCAAACGAAGGAUUUUAGCUCAAAAACCCAUGUGGAAAAUGUACUUCGUUUUUAGUUGAGCAUUGUGAAAUAUGAUAUCUAACAAACAUAUAAUAUUCUUUUAUAUUAUGUUGUUUAUUUCAUCUUUUGAGCGGUCUCUAUAUGAUCAUGUUUUCAACCGUUGAGCACUCGGUGGAUGUUCUCUAUCGUAAUGCAAUUCAAAGAAAAAUGGAUACCGAAGUGGGAUAGGGUUUAGCCAGGCAGAUGCAUUCAGCUAUUUCGAGUUCAAAAGAGGCGGCCUCCAUCAGCAAACAAAGACUUGAAAGGAAUGAUGAAGACUAUUAAGAUUCGAGACAUUGAGGUUAAAUAUUGGUUGCCAUUAUGGCAAGCUUUUUAAUGGGC